UACGGAAGGCAGCAGUGGGGAAUAUUGCACAAUGGGCGCAAGCCUGAUGCAGCCAUGCCGCGUGUAUGAAGAAGGCCUUCGGGUUGUAAAGUACUUUCAGUCGUGAGGAAGGUGUUAAGGUUAAUAACCUUAGCAAUUGACGUUAGCGACAGAAGAAGCACCGGCUAACUCCGUGCCAGCAGCCGCGGUAAUACGGAGGGUGCGAGCGUUAAUCGGAAUUACUGGGCGUAAAGGGCACGCAGGCGGUUAAUUAAAGUUGGAUGUGAAAUCCCCGGGCUUAACCUGGGAAUGGCAUUCAAGACUGGUUAGCUAGAGUCUUGUAGAGGGGGUAGAAUUCCAUGUGUAGCGGUGAAAUGCGUAGAGAUGUGGAGGAAUACCGGUGGCGAAAGGCGGCCCCCUGGGACAAAGACUGACGCUCAUGUGCGAAAGCGUGGGGAGCAAACAGGAUUAGAUACC
rnacentral:rRNA from 1 species